rnacentral:rRNA from 1 species
UACGUAGGUGGCAAGCGUUGUCCGGAUUUAUUGGGUUUAAAGGGUGCGUAGGCGGCUUUGUAAGUCAGUGGUGAAAUAUGGCAGCUUAACUGUCAAGGUGCCAUUGAUACUGCAGAGCUUGAGUACAGAUGAGGUAGGCGGAAUUGACGGUGUAGCGGUGAAAUGCUUAGAUAUCGUCAAGAACACCUAUAGCGAAGGCAGCUUACUAAGCUGUAACUGACGCUGAGGUACGAAAGUGUGGGGAUCAAACAGG